UCGAACUCCUGACCUCAGGUGAUCUACCCACCUCAGCCUCCCAAUGUGCUGGGAUUACAGGCAUGAGCCAUUACGCCUGGCCGCCUCAGCGUUCUUGAAAGCUUCCUGGGCUUCCUUGAGGGUCGGAGAGGGCCACUGAGUAAUGUGUGCCAGGAGUCCCCCCGGGGAGCACACAUUUCAGAUUCUGCUUGUGAGAGUCAGUGGCGGGCUUCUAGAAGGUUCCUAAGGCAGAUCUCUUUUGGUUAAUGAUGGGCUAUGUUUUAGUGAGACCUGCUAAGGCCAUAGUUCCGGAGGCUUCUAGGUGGUAGAAGCAAGGGAGGGAGGAGUUGGAAGAGAACUUUCCAAACUUGAGUGUGCUGCGCAUCACGUGGGGAUUGCCUCGGAGGUUCUGAGCAGGGGCUGGGGCAGGGUGAGAUGCUGCAUUUUGAACACUUUUGCACAUGAUGCGAUGCCUCUGGAUUGUAGACCAUACUUUGAGUGCAGUGGGCCAGGAGAUCAUCCAACCUGACCCUCUCCCCUUCAUUCAUUCAGGAGCCAGGCUGAUGCUGAUGGUGCAAAUCUCUACAUGACCCUGGAGGUUUCCAAGUUAGCUUAGAGGAGGAGGCAUGCAUGCGAAAACACACAUAUGACAAAGUGACAAAGGCCUAGGAUGGACCUCAGGACAGGCCCAGUCCCAGGGCGCAAGGCUACUUGCGUCAGCAGCGUGCCGAAGCAAGAUAGCGGAAUCAGGAAGAGAGCCGGCCGGAAGACACCUGCCCUGGCCGGAAGAUACGUACCCCUGAAGAUCGAGAAAGAGGCCAUCCGGGUAUCACGUAGCAGUUUCGUACGACUAGGAGACUUCCUGUUACAGGAGACUAUGAAACCUUUGUUCCGUCCUCACUUGGGGCUGACGCCAUUUUAGGCCUCAGCCCGCCUGCAUCCAGGCGCUCAUUAAAACAGCAUGUUGCUCCA